rnacentral:rRNA from 1 species
GACGAACGCUGGCGGCGUGCCUAAUACAUGCAAGUUGAGCGAUGAAGAUUGGUGCUUGCACCAAUUUGAAGAGCAGCGAACGGGUGAGUAACGCGUGGGGAAUCUGCCUUUGAGCGGGGGACAACAUUUGGAAACGAAUGCUAAUACCGCAUAACAACUUUAAACAUAAGUUUUAAGUUUGAAAGAUGCAAUUGCAUCACUCAAAGAUGAUCCCGCGUUGUAUUAGCUAGUUGGUGAGGUAAAGGCUCACCAAGGCGAUGACACAUAGCCGACCUGAGAGGGUGAUCGGCCACAUUGGGACUGAGACACGGCCCAAACUCCUACGGGAGGCAGCAGUAGGGAAUCUUCGGCAAUGGACGAAAGUCUGACCGAGCAACGCCGCGUGAGUGAAGAAGGUUUUCGGAUCGUAAAACUCUGUUGGUAGAGAAGAACGUUGGUGAGAGUGGAAAGCUCAUCAAGUGACGGUAACUACCCAGAAAGGGACGGCUAACUACGUG